CUUCCAUUUUCCGUCCAAGCUUUCAUGUUUCUUCCAUUUUUAAUUGUCCUGAAUAAUUUUGUUUUGAUCCUAUUUCGCUUUACAUUUUUUAAUGUGUGCAAGUUCAUGUUUUCAUCGUUUGAAGUUAUCAUGUUUCAUGUUUCAUCCUAUUUCGCUUUCCAUUUUUGACCUUUGGAUUUUCAUGUUUCAGCUAUUGAAAGUUUAAAAAUUCAUGUGUAAAGGUUCAUGCUUUGAAGUUUCUUAAACAAUUACUCUUUCUUAUUUACAUACUAUAUUACAAGACCGAUAAAGAUCAUCCGCAAACUUAUCCAGCACACCUCGACAAAUUUUUAGGGAAGGAAUUUGAUUUUCAUGUGAAAUUUCAACGGAACUUUAAGCAGUCAUAUGUUGUCAAGAUAACUGAGGAUGUACAAGUAAUUCAAAUGAUCAAAUAUGCUAUGCAUCCAAAUGAUCAAACUUCUAAUAUUGUCAUGAAUGCCCCACAUACUAAAGGAAAAGAAGUUGUUUGUAACCAGCUCAUAGCCGACAACGAGGCAGUCACUCCUACUUUCCUUUCGACACCAACCAUGUCUGCUUCCCAAAAUUGGAGCGACAAAGAGGAACUUGCAACUUCAACUAUGUUGUCACCCAAACAAUCUGCAACGAAGAGUGUGAAGCAUGCCAAAAAGGAAUGAUUCAAGAACUUUAUAUUGACUUAUUUUGGUUUCAAGCAGCAAGUUACUCUACUUUGUUGCUAUUUGUUUCAAACAUCUUUUGCGUGUAGCUCAUGCUGUCUUUCAUACAAUGUCUACACCAACUGCCAUUUCAGUCUAUGAUGUGUCAGAUUAUGUUUCCAACCAAACUACCAAUUUAGUUUCAACUAUUUUGGUUUGUUUUUAGUU